UUACGGCCAUAUAACUUUGAAACAUUGAUUCUCUUAUGAUCACCAAAGUUAAGCAACGUUGAGCCUGGUCACUAGAUGGGUGACCGCUUGGGAAUACCAGAUGCCGUAAGC